GUGGGGAAUCUUGCACAAUGGGGGCAACCCUGAUGCAGCGACGCCGCGUGAGUGAUGAAGCCCUUCGGGGCGUAAAGCUCUUUCGGCAGGGACGAUUAUGACGGUACCUGCAGAAGCAGCUGCGGCUAACUACGUGCCAGCAGCCGCGGUAAUACGUAGGCAGCAAGCGUUGUUCGGAGUUACUGGGCGUAAAGGGUGCGUAGGCGGCUUUUUAAGUUUGGUGUGAAAUCUCCUGGCUUAACCGGGAGGGUGCGCCGAAUACUGAGAAGCUAGAGUACGGGAGAGGAAAGUGGAAUUCCUGGUGUAGCGGUGAAAUGCGUAGAUAUCAGGAGGAACACCUGUGGUGUAGACGGCUUUCUGGACCGUAACUGACGCUGAGGCACGAAAGCGUGGGUAGCAAACAGGAUUAGAUACCCUAGUAGUCC
rnacentral:rRNA from 1 species